ACGGCGAGUGAAGCGGCAAAAGCUCAAAUUUGAAAUCGGCCAUCAGGUCGAGUUGUAAUUUGUAGAUUGUACUUUGAGAGCGGAUUAAAGUCUGUUGGAACACAGCGCCUUAGAGGGUGACAGCCCCGUAAAAUCUAUUCUCAUUGUAAGGUACUUUCGAAGAGUCGAGUUGUUUGGGAAUGCAGCUCUAAGUGGGAGGUAAAUUCCUUCUAAAGCUAAAUAUUGACGAGAGACCGAUAGCGAACAAGUACUGUGAAGGAAAGAUGAAAAGCACUUUGAAAAGAGAGUGAAAAAGUACGUGAAAUUGUUAAAAGGGAAGGGUAUUGAAUCAGACGUGGUGCUGUUGUUCAACUUUGUUUCGGCAUGGUGUACUCAGCAGUACUAGGCCAAGGUGGGGUGUUUGGGAGUGAAAAAGGAAUAGGAACGUAGCUCUUCGGAGUGUUAUAACCUAUUUUCAUAGCUCCUCAGGCGCCUCAGGACUGCGCUUCGGCAAGGACUUUGGCAUAAUGAUUCUAUACCGCCCGUCUUGAACCACGGACCAAA
rnacentral:rRNA from 1 species